rnacentral:tRNA from 1 species
AUGGUUGUCGAUGCGGGGUAUUUUCAAAUCCCAACCACUCCAUUGGUAAUGGAGAGGUCGACAGUUCAAUCCUGUCUGGCAGCACCA